AGAAUAAUAAGCUAAUUAAAGUUAGCAGGUUCAUACCCUGUUUAUGGAUUAAAUCCUUAUUCUA
rnacentral:tRNA from 1 species